GCAAUGCAUAAAAUAUAUAAUGUCGUGGCUCAGGGAUGUGUUGAAUUAUAGAGAUGCUUAAUAUGCGGCAUAAAGAUAAGAUGAAUUUACCCAAAUGUACUAAGAAUUACCACACAACUUAAAUUAACUUAAAUAUUGAUUUGUUAUCCUGUGCCAGACAGAUGGCUGAUAUUUUGAGAAUGCAAGUUUUAUGGGAACAAAGAUUUUGAAAACACUUCGCAGUGCUUAGAUUUUAACAAAAAAUAAGACACCAAGGUCGAAAAUAGUUCUAGUUCAUGAUGAAGAAAAUGUCAACCGUUUUCUAGCUUGGCGAUCUCCGCAUGCACCCGAAUAUAAUAGACAAAUACAAUACAAUAGUACACAAAACGUAACAUAAAGAACUAAAGACCGAGCAACACGAACUCCAACAAAACGGUAUAUAUUUCAUACAAGUAUAGGACUAUAUGAAGCGACGUCAAUAACGUUGUCGUUGUUUUUUGUUUUUUUUUUUAAACUCAAGAUUCAACUUUAACAGGGUAUAGCUUGAAAAGUAGCACGGUUGCUAAGGACUUUCUUUGCACCAAUCGAUUCCUCAGACAUUUUAGAAUCGUCUCAUAAAUUUAAAAAAAAAUCGAUGGUCUAAUAUAAUAGAAAAUCUUGGAAAUGUAACAAUUCCUGCCGAUUUCACGAUUUUCCCUAUAUAUCCUUUGUAAUUUUGGUGUAUGAUGCUGUUAACUUCAAAAGCUCGUAUCUCAAAAACGAAAACGGUUACCCCC
rnacentral:lncRNA from 1 species